CCCUGGAUAGCAUAGUCAGUAGACCAUGGGACUCUUAAUCUCAGGGUUGUGGGUUUAAGGCCCACGUUGGGCA